UAGUCAAGGUCUCUUUUUAGAGUUCU
rnacentral:piRNA from 1 species